rnacentral:rRNA from 1 species
GUGGGGAAUCUUGGACAAUGGGCGCAACCCUGAUCCAGCCAUGCCGCGUGAGUGAUGAAGGCCUUAGGGUCGUAAAGCUCUUUCGCCAGAGAUGAUAAUGACAGUAUCUGGUAAAGAAACCCCGGCUAACUCCGUGCCAGCAGCCGCGGUAAUACGGAGGGGGUUAGCGUUGUUCGGAAUUACUGGGCGUAAAGCGUACGUAGGCGGAUUAGUCAGUCAGAGGUGAAAUCCCAGGGCUCAACCCUGGAACUGCCUUUGAUACUGCUAGUCUUGAGUUCGAGAGAGGUGAGUGGAAUUCCAAGUGUAGAGGUGAAAUUCGUAGAUAUUUGGAGGAACACCAGUGGCGAAGGCGGCUCACUGGCUCGAUACUGACGCUGAGGUACGAAAGUGUGGGGAGCAAACAGGAUUAGAUACCCUGGUAGUCCACACCGUAAACGAUGAAUGCCAGUCGUCGGGCAUAUACUGUUCGGUGACACACCUAACGGAUUAAGCAUUCCGCCUGGGGAGUACGGUCGCAAGAUU